rnacentral:rRNA from 1 species
GACGAACGCUGGCGGCGUGCUUAGCACAUGCAAGUCGAACGGGCCUGUCUUCUUUUUUGGGGGUGGGUUGAGUGGCGAACGGGUGAGUAUCACGUGAGUAACCUGCCCUUCGGUCCUGGAUAACCGCUUGAAAGGGCGGCUAAUACGGGGUGGUCCGGUUGGUCCGCAUGGGCUGGUCGGGAUAGAUUCACUGUUUUUGGUGUUUCGGCGGGGGAUGGGCUCGCGGCCUAUCAGCUUGUUGGUGGGGUGAUGGCCUACCAAGGCGGUGACGGGUAGCCGGCCUGAGAGGGUGGGCGGCCACACUGGGACUGAGAUACGGCCCAGACUCCUGCGGGAGGCAGCAGUGGGGGGUAUUGCACAAUGGGCGGAAGCCUGAUGCAGCGACGUCGCGUGAGGGAUGGAGGCCUUCGGGUCGUGAACCUCUGUUUCCGGUGGUGAAGGCCCUGUCCGUGUGGUGGGGUUGACGGUAGCCGGGGAUGAAGCGCCGGCUAACUACGUG